UUGAACUGUGUUUCCGAAUCAUUGGGUGUAAUCCCCAAGUGCAUAGAAGGUUGGCUAUGUAGAAAGGCUAAUACUCCGACAUGCUUGAUAAUUUGAUAAAGUGAAAGUGAUUCUGGUAUGAAGCUCGGUGAAGGCGGCGAAAACCAGACCUGAAAAGCGGUUAGGGAAGUAGUCGGGCCGCCAUAAA
rfam:Desulfosporosinus acidiphilus SJ4, complete genome.